rnacentral:snoRNA from 1 species
UUGCAAUGAUGAAUCAGAUUCCAAAGCCAUUCGUAGUUUCCACCAGAAGUCACUAAUGAUGGCCAAAGUCUUCCUUGGAUGUCUGAGCGA